rnacentral:lncRNA from 1 species
UAAUGUUUACCCAACCCAUGUGUUACUGUACUUCAUAAUAAUUAAACACACAAGAUUAUGGUGACAGAAAUCAAGUUGCCUAAAUUCUAAAAGCUCACUCAGACUCACCGAGUGUGCCAAAGCAAUCACAAUGUCUGCUGAUCAAUGAUAGAGUCCUUCCUCAAUCACUGAUGGUCUAUUUUGGUACAGAUUGUAUUGUACACAUUUUUCUUCAUAUUUUCCAAUGCUUGGUAAUUUUGGUUUUAUUUUAUUUUAUUUUAUAGCUGACAAACAGCCAUAUAUUUUUUUUACCCAACCCAUGAGCUAGUCAAAAACUUGAUUACCCAACCCAUAUCUC